ACUAUGGUACACGGAAAUGAAGAUUUAAGUCCCGUGCAGAAGUUCUAUUACUUGAAGUCGUGUUUGGUCGGCGAAGCUGCCUCUUUGGUUACGACUUUGGAAUGUACGAACGAAAACUACGUGAAGGCAUGGUCUGCGAUUACAUCAAGAUAUGACAAUAAGCAGCGCUGCCAAGCAUUAGAUAUGCUAUGCCGUGAUGAAGCAGUGAGCACUACAAAGGUCGUGCCUCCGGCAAAGAGCACUAGUCAUGUGACUGUUGGCAGCGGCAGAAGUGCAAAUGG